UACAGAGGGGGCAAGCGUUGUUCGGAAUUACUGGGCGUAAAGGGCGCGUAGGCGGCCUUCUAAGUCGAACGUGAAAUCCCCGGGCUCAACCCGGGAACUGCGUCCGAUACUGGAAGGCUUGAAUCCGGGAGAGGGAUGUGGAAUUCUAGGUGUAGCGGUGAAAUGCGUAGAUAUCUGGAGGAACACCGGUGGCGAAGGCGACAUCCUGGACCGGUAUUGACGCUGAGGCGCGAAAGCCAGGGGAGCA
rnacentral:rRNA from 1 species